GACGUAGGAGGCGAGCGUUGUCCGGAUUCAUUGGGCGUAAAGAGCGCGCAGGCGGCUUGGUAAGUCGGAUGUGAAAUCCCGAGGCUCAACCUCGGGUCUGCAUCCGAUACUGCCCGGCUAGAGGUAGGUAGGGGAGAUCGGAAUUCCUGGUGUAGCGGUGAAAUGCGCAGAUAUCAGGAGGAACACCAGUGGCGAAGGCGACUACCUGGCCUGUUCUUGACGCUGAGGCGCGAAAGCUAGGGGAGCAAACGGG
rnacentral:rRNA from 1 species